AAACAGACAACUUUCUGCUUAGAAAACAGCCUUCUCGGUGGGAGAGGAUGAACUGCCAUGUCUAAGAGAAAGACUUGCCCCCGAAUUUGUAGACUCACAUCCCCACUCAAAAUGAGAAAAUUAGAAAAGGAGGAUGGAGGACGAGCACACCAAAAAGGGAUAAAAAGAGAGAAAAGGGGAGGAAAAAAAACCUACCUGCGAAGUCUUGUUUGUAGUUUUGGCCAGAAAUGGUGAGAAGAAAAAGCAUGAAGAAGCCGCGAAGUGUGGGGGAGAAAAAGGUGGAAGCGAAGAAACAGCUCCCGGAGCAAACUGUACAAAAACCUCGCCAAGAGUGUCGGGAGGCAGGACCGUUAUUCCUGCAGAGCAGGAGAGAGACGAGAGACCCUGAAACACGCGCCACCUAUCUUUGUGGGGAGGGAUAAUUGAAGCGCCCUGAGCGUGAGCAUCAUGUGAAAACGUGAUCGCCAAGUUUCUCUCUGGGAAAGGAUCUGGGAUAGAUUAUACCUUGAAGUCUCCGCAAACGCUUUAGUGGAAGAAAUGAAAUUCCACCUCCCUCCCUUCC
ensembl:lncRNA ZEB2-AS1 ZEB2 antisense RNA 1